GUAAAGCCCCGCUCUUUGCCUUCUUCACUCUCAAAAUUAAAAAAACACGCACACUCUCUCUCUGAUUCCCUAUCUGUUUUUUUAAAAAUUAGGGUUUUCAAAUUACCGUCAAUCAACCAUGUCGUUGAGACCUAGCGCGAGAACCGAGGUUCGCCGGAACCGAUACAAAGUCGCAGUCGACGCCGAUGAAGGUCGCCGGAGAAGAGAGGACAAUAUGGUGGAGAUCCGCAAGAACAAGCGUGAAGAGAGUUUGCUAAAGAAGCGACGCGAAGGUCUCCAGGCACAACAGUUCCCUCCCGCUAUUCUCUCUUCUUCUAAUGUGGAAAAGAAGUUAGAGAAUUUGCCUUCGAUGGUGGCUGGUGUUUGGUCUGAGGAUGGCAAUUUGCAGCUUGAAUCAACUACUCAGUUUCGGAAACUGCUUUCGAUUGAGAGGAGUCCUCCGAUAGAGGAAGUUAUACAAGCUGGGGUUGUUCCUCGAUUUGUUGAGUUUCUUGUUAGGGAGGAUUUCCCUCAGCUUCAGUUUGAGGCUGCUUGGGCUCUCACAAACAUUGCCUCUGGAACUUCAGAGAACACUAAGGUGGUAAUUGAUCAUGGUGCAGUUCCAAUAUUUGUCAAGCUUCUCGGUUCUCCCAGUGAUGAUGUUAGGGAGCAGGCUGUGUGGGCAUUGGGAAAUGUUGCUGGUGACUCCCCUAAGUGCCGUGAUCUUGUGCUCAGCCAUGGAGCCUUGAUUCCAUUGCUGGCACAGUUGAAUGAGCAUGCAAAGCUUUCAAUGCUGAGGAAUGCUACGUGGACACUAUCAAACUUCUGCAGGGGCAAGCCACAGCCUCCGUUCGAGCAGGUGAGGCCAGCCCUUCCUGCACUUGAACGUCUUGUACAUUCAACUGAUGAAGAAGUCCUAACUGAUUCUUGCUGGGCACUCUCUUAUCUUUCUGAUGGUACAGAUGAUAAAAUCCAAGCUGUUAUUGAGGCAGGUGUCUGUCCACGACUUGUGGAGCUCCUCCUCCAUCCUUCUCCUUCAGUGCUUGUUCCUGCCCUCCGCACAGUUGGAAAUAUUGUGACAGGGGAUGAUAUGCAGACCCAGUGCAUAAUUACCACUGGUGCACUCCCAUGCCUUCUAAGCCUGCUGACUCAUAAUCAUAAAAAGAGCAUCAAGAAAGAAGCUUGCUGGACUAUCUCAAACAUCACUGCUGGAAACAAGGAGCAGAUCCAGGCUGUUAUUGAGAAUGGUUUAAUUGGCCCGCUCGUUAAUUUACUUCAAAAUGCGGAGUUUGAUAUAAAGAAAGAAGCUGCUUGGGCUGUGUCUAAUGCUACUUCGGGUGGCACUCACGAGCAAAUUAAGUUUUUGGUCAGUCAGGGAUGUAUUAAACCAUUGUGUGAUCUUCUUGUAUCCCCUGAUCCAAGGAUUGUAACUGUAUCUCUUGAAGGAUUAGAGAACAUUCUGAAGGUUGGGGAAGCGGAGAAGAAUUUGGGGAAUAGUGGAGAUGCUAAUUUCUAUGCCCAGAUGAUAGAUGAUGCCGAGGGACUAGAAAAGAUUGAAAAUCUACAGAGUCAUGACAACAAUGAGAUAUAUGAGAAGGCAGUCAAGAUUCUCGAGACUUAUUGGUUGGAAGAAGACGACGAGACUUUGCCUUCAGGUGAUGGUGCCCAGCAAGGAUUUCAGUUUGGUGGGAACGGUGUUCAAGUUCCAUCUGGUGGAUUCAACUUUUAGCUGAAGCUUACACGCAACACGACUAAUCCCCGGUCCAUUGAACACUUUGCAAGCCUAGUGGACAUGUAAGACAUCGCGGGGGUGUCAGGUAUGCACAGAAAGAAUCGAAUCUGGUUGCAAGUAUCUUUCCCCGUUAGACCACUACCUCAAGUGCUCUCUCUUCCUCGGUUUUUGGUAUUGAGCCAAAUGUUGAAAUUGAAGGCGAGUGUGAGCAAGAAUGGCCCACUCCUAUAAAGCGGCAACAAUGGUGGCAAAUGCAAAUGCAAAUGCCAUCUAGUUGGAAGACUACUUUGACUAGAAAAGGGGAGGAAUCUGAGUCAUAUGACCUUCGUAAACACACUCGAAGGGCAAAUGGUGGGCCGAGCUUUGUUCUUUUGCAGCCUAUAGAUCCUUAAUAGAUCUGAAAAUUCGUAUUUUUUCCUGCUGGACCCUCACGAGAGAAGGUCCAUUGAGACAUGCCGCUCGCUCUGGACCAUUUGCUUUUGUGCAGCUGGUAUCCUCCACUCAGAUUCUGUAUUUUUCUCCAUAAGAUAUGUAAAAAUCAGGUAGCUUGUCCAUAAUUUUAUUUGUUCCUGUAACCAGAUUUUAUGAAAACCUUGAGCUGAAGAUUGCGGUCUGACAAUUCCGAUAUUUGCUGAAGAAGAUAAAUUGAGGCCAUCAGUUGGAUUAUUUUUAA